UGACCCACCGGGGUAACGGAUACCUGUUUUUUUUUU
rnacentral:ncRNA from 1 species